rnacentral:rRNA from 1 species
UUGUUCGGAGUUACUGGGCGUAAAGGGCGCGUAGGCGGCGCUCCAAGUUAGGCGUUAAAGCCCCGGGCUCAACCUGGGAAUUGCGCUUAAGACUGGAGUGCUCGAGUGCGGAAGAGGUGAGUGGAAUUCCCAGUGUAGAGGUGAAAUUCGUAGAUAUUGGGAAGAACACCAGUGGCGAAGGCGGCUCACUGGUCCGCAACUGACGCUGAGGCGCGAAAGCGUGGGGAGCAAACAGG